rnacentral:rRNA from 1 species
CAGUGGGGAAUAUUGCACAAUGGGCGAAAGCCUGAUGCAGCGACGCCGCGUGAGGGAUGACGGCCUUCGGGUUGUAAACCUCUUUCAGUAGGGAAGAAGCGAAAGUGACGGUACCUGCAGAAGAAGCGCCGGCUAACUACGUGCCAGCAGCCGCGGUAAUACGUAGGGCGCAAGCGUUAUCCGGAAUUAUUGGGCGUAAAGAGCUCGUAGGCGGUUUGUCGCGUCUGCCGUGAAAGUCCGGGGCUCAACUCCGGAUCUGCGGUGGGUACGGGCAGACUAGAGUGAUGUAGGGGAGACUGGAAUUCCUGGUGUAGCGGUGAAAUGCGCAGAUAUCAGGAGGAACACCGAUGGCGAAGGCAGGUCUCUGGGCAUUAACUGACGCUGAGGAGCGAAAGCAUGGGGAGCGAACAGGAUUAGA